rnacentral:lncRNA from 1 species
UGGAAUGUUUUUUUUGGGCUGUAGUUGCUGACACACUCCAUCCAAGGGGUUGCUACAUUUUUCUCUAUAAAGGCCUUUUUUUUUUUUCUUUGAACAAUGUCUAUGCUACUUGAUUUUGGUUGAUGCACUUUUUAAUUAAAGUUAAUUCCAGCUGCUGAUUUUUAUUAUUUGAGUUUACUUUUAAAACAAAAUUGAGAAAAUAGCACGGUGAUUUAUGGACUUUGGGCAUUGAUUCACGC